GGACGAACGCUGGCGGCGUGCCUAACACAUGCAAGUCGAGCGAUGAACCUCGGGUGGAUAGCGGCGGACGGGUGAGUAACACGUGGGUAACCUGCCUCAAAGAGGGGGAUAGCCUCCCGAAAGGGAGAUUAAUACCGCAUAACAUUAUUUUUUCGCAUGAAGAGAUAAUCAAAGGAGUAAUCCGCUUUGAGAUGGACCCGCGGCGCAUUAGCUAGUUGGUGAGGUAAUGGCUCACCAAGGCAACGAUGCGUAGCCGACCUGAGAGGGUGAUCGGCCACAUUGGAACUGAGAUACGGUCCAGACUCCUACGGGAGGCAGCAGUGGGGAAUAUUGCGCAAUGGGGGAAACCCUGAACCGCAGCAACGCCGCGUGGGUGAAGAAGGCCUUCGGGUUGUAAAGCUCUGUCUUCUGGGACGAUAAUGACGGUACCAGAGGAGGAAGCCACGGCUAACUACGUGCCAGCCGCCGC
rnacentral:rRNA from 1 species